rnacentral:rRNA from 1 species
UUUAUGGAGAGUUUGAUCCUGGCUCAGGAUGAACGCUGGCGGCGUGCCUAAUACAUGCAAGUCGAGCGAACUGACGAGGAGCUUGCUCCUUUGACGUUAGCGGCGGACGGGUGAGUAACACGUGGGUAACCUACCUAUAAGACUGGAAUAACUCCGGGAAACCGGGGCUAAUGCCGGAUAACAUGUUGAACCGCAUGGUUCAACAGUGAAAGACGGU